rnacentral:rRNA from 1 species
AAUGAACGCUGGCGGCAUGCCUAACAUAUGCAAGUCGAACGAAGGCUUCGGCCUUAGUGGCGCACGGGUGCGUAACGCGUGGGAAUCUGCCCUUGGGUUCGGAAUAACAGUUAGAAAUGACUGCUAAUACCGGAUGAUGUCGUAAGACCAAAGAUUUAUCGCCCAAGGAUGAGCCCGCGUAGGAUUAGCUAGUUGGUGAGGUAAAAGCUCACCAAGGCGACGAUCCUUAGCUGGUCUGAGAGGAUGAUCAGCCACACUGGGACUGAGACACGGCCCAGACUCCUACGGGAGGCAGCAGUGGGGAAUAUUGGACAAUGGGCGAAAGCCUGAUCCAGCAAUGCCGCGUGAGUGAUGAAGGCCUUAGGGUUGUAAAGCUCUUUUACCCGGGAUGAUAAUGACAGUACCGGGAGAAUAAGCUCCGGCUAACUUCGUGCCAGCAGCCGCAGUAACAC